GUGCAUCUAUUGACAAACCUGGAGAAGUUACUGUCUGCUGCAAAGGUUUCCAGUACAGAUGCAAGAGAAAAGUAUCCUUGCCCUUUCUGUCUGAUUGUGACAGACAAGAUUGAAUGAGGGAAUACAGGG
ensembl:snoRNA small nucleolar RNA SNORA31